AGGAAAUCUUCAUCCUCACAUGUUUGUUCGCCUUCAUGGAGAGGAGCGCAUGUGUCCUGGAUGCACCUGACAGGGAGUGCAGAUCCGUGAACACGGAAACGAUGAUCUGGAUCGCCUGACCUCUGUCUGUACAUUUGUUGUGAAAGACUCAGAGUGUCUAUGAGGCAGAGGAGCACAGCAACAUCACCAUCAGAUGGGACAGUAGGAUCCACACUGACACAUCUCUCACCAGCAUGACGUGUUUUCCUCUCAGGUGUCACUGAGAUUCUGUAUAAAAUGAUCAGAGGACUCCGAGUCUCAGUGUGAGCAGUUUGAUGGACGGGUUCAGAGUGACAGAGACGCUCUGAGAGGAGGACCAAUCAGACUUCAUCUUCCAGAGUCACGGUUAAAGAAACUACAGCUCUGAUUCUAACACGGUCCUGAGGAGGUGGGAGCUCAGACCUCUGCUGAGUUUAGCUGGCAGUUUUUCUCCAUCUCACUGAGCUUUCAGUCACAGAGAAAGUCAGCAGAGCUCUGAGUGCUGCUGCAAUGUGCUGUAACACUCACUGAUUUCCUCCAUAUAACAUUUGAUCUGAAUGUGACCCAGAAAAGUGAAGAGACUCCAAAAACUGCAAAGUCUGGACUGACAGCUGCUGAAGGUGAACGAGGAAAAAGACCUCCAUCAGGACCUUCUCUGACACCUGCAGCUUCACUACUACUGGCAGCCUUUUUCUAACUAUAUUUUCAGGCAUUGUUUACCUGUGGAGAACAAUAAGGAGAAAACAUGGAGCUCCUGUCAGAGACGGACCAGGAGGAGGAUUUAUGUAACUGAACAGAGAACAUCCUCACUGUUAAACUGCUCCUGAUGUGGACGGACAUCUGUCAGCAUGAACAGCUGGAUCACAUAAUUCUCCACGUCCU